GCCCAGGCUGGAGUACAGUGGCACAAACAUGGUUCACUGCAACCUCCCACUGCCUUCCAGGCUCAAACGAUCUUCCCACCUCGGCCUCCUAAAUAGCUGGGAUCACAGGCACUCACUGCCACGCCCAGCUAAUUUUUGUAUUUUUUGUAGAGACAGGGUUUCACCAUGUUGGCCAGGCUGGUAUGAACUCCUGACCUCAAGUGAUCCACCCACUUGGCUUCCCAAAGUGCUGGGAUUACAGGCCAUAUUACCCAGCCAGUGUGGUACUCCUGAGCUCAAGGAGAUCCGCCUGCCUUGGCAUCCCAGAGUGUUGGGGUUACAGGCAUGAGCCACUGAGCUUAGCCUCAGGUCAUCUCUUUUUCCUCCUAGAAGUCUUCAAAUGAGAGAGAAUGACUUAUGCAGAGCAAUUGGGAUGCGGGAGCACAAACCAUUUCCUCACCAUUCGCCACUGACUCGUGGUGCUUGUCCUCCCCACCAGACUCCGUCGUUCGCCUGCCUUCUGUGUCUGCCGCUCAGUGAACGUGGAUGUCCUCCAGCUCUGGCUCGCCCUGAGUGAUGGCAUCCUCCUGUGGCUUUAGCUACCGCCCGUGAGAUGAAUCCCAAAUUUAUCUCCACAGCUUAAUCCCUUUUCUCAACCUCUAAGGUACAAAAUUAUCUAGUCAUCCACUGGGUAUCUCCACCCGACUGACCGACAAGCACCUCCAUCCCCCCCAUGUGCCAAUCUCAACUCUCCAGUGCCUCUCACCUCAAGCUGAACCUCCCAUUUGUCCCUGUCUCAAGGAACUGGGCAAGUUUGCCCUUUAUCCCAAGCCAGAACCUACCAUUUCUGAGGUCUAUACCUCUGUAUGUUACUGUCCCUCCCUGAACUUUCUUCUUCCUUUGCUAAUUCUCAUUCAUCUUCCAUAACUCAGUUGAGGGACAAUGUUUUUAGGAAAGCGUUUCCUGGUUUCCUCCUGCCUCAGUCUGUGUUGGGUGUCCUCUCUUGGGCUCCCAAUGUCUGGAGAGUCCCUGUGCCCCAUCAUCACUGUAUACUUCCUUUUUUUUUUUUUUGAGACAGAGUUUCUCUCUUGUCACCCAGGCUGGAGCGCGAUGGCGCAAUCUUGGCUCACUGCAACCUCCGCCUUCGGGGUUCAAGCAAUUCUCCUGCUUCAGCCUCCCGACUAGCUGGUAUUAUAGGCAUCUACCACACCUGGCUAGUUUUUUAUUUUUAGUAGAGUCAGG
rnacentral:lncRNA from 10 species